rnacentral:lncRNA from 1 species
GACAUUGGUGACUUUGUCAAAUUUUUUGUGAAGGACUGGGAACAACCAUGCACUACUUUCUUCGAGGUUAUGAUGCGGGAGGCCGACAUGACUGUGUAUUGUACAUGCAAAAGAUUUGAACAGUUUGGGUUGUUGUGCUCACACAUCUUUUGUGUGCUAAGGAUGCUUGACAUUAGGGAGUUUCCACAACGCUAUAUAUUACGACGUUGGACUCGGGAGGCUGUUCCA